rnacentral:rRNA from 1 species
UGAGGAAUAUUGGGCAAUGCCCGCAAGGGUGACCCAGCAACGCCGCGUGGAGGAUGAAUGUCGUAAGAUUGUAAACUCCUGUUAGAGGGGAAGAAUAGUACCGGUUGGACCGGUAUAUGACUGUACCCUCAGAGAAAGCCCCGGCUAACUACGUGCCAGCAGCCGCGGUAAUACGUAGGGGGCAAGCGUUGUCCGGAUUUACUGGGUGUAAAGGGCGCGCAGGCGGGAUAAAAAGUCAGUGGUGAAAUCCUACAGCUUAACUGUAGAACUGCCUUUGAUACUUUUAUUCUUGAGUUCGGGAGAGAGAGACGGAAUGCCAGGUGUAGUGGUGAAAUACGUAGAUAUCUGGAAGAACACCUGUUGCGAAGGCGGUCUCUUGGUCCGACACUGACGCUGAGGCGCGAAAGCGUGGG